GACAGAGGGUGCAAACGUUGUUCGGAAUUACUGGGCGUAAAGCGCGUGUAGGCGGCUAUGCAAGUCGGGCGUGAAAUCCCGCGGCUCAACCGUGGAAGUGCACUCGAAACUGCGUAGCUAGAGUCCUGGAGAGGAAGGCGGAAUACUUGGUGUAGAGGUGAAAUUCGUAGAUAUCAAGUGGAACACCGGUGGCGAAGGCGGCCUUCUGGACAGUGACUGACGCUGAGACGCGAAAGCGUGGGGAGCAAACAGG
rnacentral:rRNA from 1 species